GACAAGGAAGACUAGUGUUUUAUUUCAUCUUUUUUAUUUAGGUAUAUAGGGUACCUAGACAGUUUUUUAUCAGGCCUUAAAAAGGUACGGAUAAAACUAGAGUUAUGUGAGAGGAGAUAUCAGAAUUAUUGGUGUAGAGAUGAAAUGUUUUUUUUGAUACUAAUAAGAACGGUAAUAGCGAAGCAAACCUUUAUGUAAAACUGACGUUGAGGACGAAGCUUGGAAGCGAAGAGG
rnacentral:rRNA from 1 species